rnacentral:rRNA from 1 species
UACGUAGGGUGCAGGCGUUAAUCGGAAUUACUGAGCGUAAAGCGUGCGCAGGCGGUUUCUUAAGUCAGAUGUGAAAGCCCCGGGCUUAACCUGGGAACUGCGUUUGAAACUGGGAGACUUGAGUGUGGCAGAGGGGGGUGGAAUUCCACGUGUAGCAGUGAAAUGCGUAGAUAUGUGGAGGAACACCGAUGGCGAAGGCAGCCCCCUGGGUUAACACUGACGCUCAUGCACGAAAGCGUGGGGAGCAAACAGG